rnacentral:rRNA from 1 species
AUGCAUUUCUUGGUUGUUAUCCCUUUACCAGCGUGGGCUCUAAAGAUUAUUGACAGAAGAUGUAGAGCUUUUGUGUGGAGGGGUGAGGAGGAAAUCAUUGGAGGCCAUUGCCUGGUUCCCUGGGCCCGGGUUUGCAGACCUAAGCAAUGGGGAGGACUCGGUCUUUUGAACCUGAAAGAUUUUGGGAUUGCGCUCCGGUGUCGAUGGCAGUGGCUAAGAUGGGAUGCGGAAGAACGCCCGUGGCAGCUAUUCCCAGAUCAGCAAGACAAGGAUGCCUCUGCUAUCUUUGCGGCUGCAGGUCGAGUGAUCCUGGGGAGAGGCGACACUGCCAGAUUUUGGACUGACAACUGGACACCGGAACACAAUCGAAGAUGGCUAAGGGACAUCCAAGGUGGCUUGACAGUCCAAGCCUUGGUGCAAUACUUAUGGGUCUGGGACAUGGCACAGGCUACUGUACUCGAUUCGGAGGCUCAGGAUCGGCUUGAGUGGAGGAUGACAGAACACCACCAAUUCACAGUCAGCAGUGCUUAUAAGAUGUUCUUCAUGGCUGGAAUAAGGUUUGCCUGUUACAAACCCUUGUGGAAAUCCAAAGCGCCCCCACGUUGCAAGUUCUUCAUAUAGCUUGUCAUACAUAAGAAGUGCCUUACAGCAGAAAAUCUUCAGAAAAGAGGUUGGCCGUCCAAUCGGGAUUGCGCGCUCUGUUCUGUGCAACCAGAGAGCUGCACACACCUUUUUAUUUACUGCAGAUUUACCCAACAGCUCUGGAUCCUCUUCAAACAAUAGUCUACGGUGAAUUUUCCCAUCCCGGACAGCAGCUUCGACAGCACGAAAGAUGGCUGGGCAAGGAGGACAAUCCCCAAGCAAGCGCGACGGAACUUUGACACCAUUGUCAUUCUCAUUCAUUGGAGGAUCUGGAAGGAGCGAAAUGCGCGAAUUUUCCAGCACACUGCUUGUAAUAUGGAGAGGGUCCUGGAUCUUAUCAGAGAAGACAUUGGAGUGUGGAGAUCAGCCGGAUGUGUGACUGAUUUAGUUAAUUAG